rnacentral:rRNA from 1 species
UGAGGAAUAUUGGUCAAUGGACGGAAGUCUGAACCAGCCAAGUAGCGUGCAGGACGACGGCCCUAUGGGUUGUAAACUGCUUUUGUAUGGGGAUAAAGUCAAUCACGUGUGAUUGUUUGCAGGUACCAUACGAAUAAGGACCGGCUAAUUCCGUGCCAGCAGCCGCGGUAAUACGGAAGGUCCAGGCGUUAUCCGGAUUUAUUGGGUUUAAAGGGAGCGUAGGCUGGAGAUUAAGUGUGUUGUGAAAUGUAGACGCUCAACGUCUGAAUUGCAGCGCAUACUGGUUUCCUUGAGUACGCACAACGUUGGCGGAAUUCGUCGUGUAGCGGUGAAAUGCUUAGAUAUGACGAAGAACUCCGAUUGCGAAGGCAGCUGACGGGAGCGCAACUGACGCUUAAGCUCGAAGGUGCGGGUAUCAAACAGGAUUAGAUACCCUGGUAGUCCGCACAGUAAACGAUGGAUGCCCGCUGUUGGUACCUGGUAUCAGCGGCUAAGCGAAAGCAUUAAGCAUCCCACCUGGGGAGUACGCCGGCAACGGU